UAGAAGUUCCUCGCAGAAUUUAAUGCCGUCAACGAACACGCUUGAUUAUAUCAUCUUUGCGUCAUCGCUUCCCCCAGGAACAUACCUAGUAUGGCGAUCCGGCGAUCCUUCGGUAUAGGUACCACUUUAUUGGUCAAAUAGUAAAGAGAUUCCGUAUCGAAACAGCGGCUGAACACAGAAAAUCAGUUUCCUCUCUUCCUUAAUUGCAAUCACAGAAUUCAUGACGUGGCUUAGAAUCGCUUCAAAAUCCGUCUCAAACCGAAAACCUUACAACGAGAUGAUUACUUUCAUCAUUUCGUAAUGAAGAUCAACGCACUAAUUCCCGAUUUAUAUCCGAGAGGGACCUUCAAAUGACAUUCGUGUGAAGGAGUUUUCCUCAUCAACCGAAUCAUCAAGAUGCAUUUCCUAAGAAGUAACUUUGCUGAUAUAAACUUACAGCAGAAUUACUGUGAACUAUUUACUCUGAACUGUAAAAUUAAUAGCAAAAUUCACCACUUCAGUGAAACAUCUCAUCAUCAUCAUCAUUGUUCAACCGUGGUCAAGACAAUGGAAUUUACCAUGCUACGCCAGACUUCACGGUCCAUCAUGGCAUUACAGAGGUCCUGUUGCUGGAUGCCUGUAU